UUUACCCUUGCUCCAUUUGGAUCUGCCUCGAUUUUUCCUUUCAUUUCUUCCAUUCUUUCCCAAACUUACACCCCCCCUUCUUUCCAAAUCCUCAAUUCGAAACAAACCCUAAAUUCCUCGAAACAAGCAUAGAAACACAUAAAACCCAAAACACACAAAAUUUCACCUCGAAUCGACGGCCUCCGACUGCACAGUCUUCUCCACUUCAUCCACAGCCGAAUCAGCCCCUGCGUGAUUCCUCCUCAACCACUGCUGCUGAUUCUGCUGCUGAAACUGCUGGUAACUUUGCCCUACAUUCCUUUGAAAAUCGACGGCCUCCGACUGCACAGUCUUCUCCACUUCAUCCACAGCCGAAUCAGCCCCUGCGUGAUUCCUCCUCAACCACUGCUGCUGAUUCUGCUGCUGAAACUGCUGUGCAGUGUGGAGUAUAAUACAUGGAUAAAAGGAAAAAAACAAUACAAUACAACCAGGAGAUCAAAAUAAAUAGUCGAUGCUCCAGCAAAAAACUUAGACAUCUACUUGAUGAGCUAAGUGAUGAAAAGAAGAGUAUAAUUCAACAUAUUGGCUUUGGUGGAUUACUUCAGCUCUCUUCCACAGAGAUAAGGCAUAGCUUAUGUAGAUGGAUAAUAACUCAUUUCAAUAUAGCCCACUGUAGGUUAGACAUAGGACAAGAAAGACAAUUUCCAAUAACUUGUUCUGAUGUAGGUGAAAUUCUGGGUAUUCCAUAUAUUGGUAGGAGGCUCCUACUUUCACCUACCAAUAGGAAUAAUAGGAUGGAAAACCUAUCAGAUCUUAGAGAGAGGCUGAUUUUAAUGGAAGACA